AAAAAAAAAAAAAAGCUUUUACCAUUAACCAAGCACGUUGCACGUGCCGCCGAACACUAGUUAACAAUUCAAUGAGUCAAUAAGAUUGCACAAAUUUAAACACCUCCUCCCAUCCAAAGGUAUCCAGUAGACUAAGGACACGAUUUUAGCCUUUCAAUAUUCAAAUCUAGUCCUUCAAAGGUCCUAUUUUCUCCCUCCAAAUGUGCCACAUCAAACGUUAGGGAUGCACUUACAAGUUGCAUGGAGUUGGAUGAAGCUCCUUUUCAAUGUUUCAUGUUUCAUGCCCAUCUCCAAUUUAAUUUUCUUCAAUGAAUUAUAUACCCUUGUAGUUCUGACUGCUACACUUCUACUGUCUUGUUAAUGAAAUUUUAUCGAUUCCGUAUGGUUGAGUAAAAUGUUUGAGGGCUUGAGGCUAGUCUAGAAAUGUUUCCUACGCAUUCUAGUUUUCCUAAGUGAUGUCAAUUAUGUCGCCAACUUUCUCUGUUAAAGAUUAUUAACCAACGUAUGCUUUUAGAUGAAUGAGAUGGAUGGUAAUAUACAGUACAGAAUAUAAUUGAAUCAUGUAGAAACGUGAGCAGGGGAAAAGCAAAAGCAAAAGCAGAUAAUAAGGACAAUUCUAGUUUAUUCUCCACUGAUCUCUGCCUACCCUUUUUCACAAUAUUUUAAACCCACAAAAGAUUUCAGUAUAGCUGUGCUUGAAAUUGCAGAGAGCUACUAUUUUCAUUGCAUGUUGAAUAGAAUAUUUGUUGUAUACAUGAAAAAAGCUUAUGACACUGUGCUUUGUACACCAAAUUUGCCAUUUUAGAUCAAAUCCAAGCAGAAAUUUUGUUCCGCAUCCUCACCUUGUUGUUCUGCAGCUUCGAGCAACUAGAACACCAGUUGGUGGACCAGUCAUCUGUAAUUGACAUCUGCUAUGCAACCAUUCCACAGCAAGAUUCUGGGGCAAAAAAACCAAGCUGGAUAUGAAGUGAACUGCUUCCAACCUCUUCUCCCCUCUUCUUUGAGUAAAAGGCUCUAUAGCUUGAGUAGCUAUUAGCCUGUCAGAAAAGAAAAGCUCUACACUCAAAUACUCAAAUCUUACAUUAAUUUUCCGAUUUGGGUUAGAGAAAUUUGCGAGGAAAGUAAAGUCACCAUUGAAAUA